rnacentral:rRNA from 1 species
UAAGACGAACCGUGCGAACGUUGUUCGGAAUCACUGGGCUUAAAGGGCGCGUAGGCGGCUCGCCAAGUCAGGGGUGAAAUACUUCAGCUUAACUGGAGAAGUGCCCUUGAUACUGGCGGGCUCGAGGGAGGUAGGGGCAUGUGGAACUUCUGGUGGAGCGGUGAAAUGCGUUGAUAUCAGAAGGAACGCCGGUGGCGAAAGCGACGUGCUGGACCUCUUCUGACGCUGAGGCGCGAAAGCUAGGGGAGCAAACGGGAUUAGAUACCCCGGUAGUCCUAGCCCUAAACGAUGGGUACUAGAUUGUAGACUUGACAUGGGUUUACAGUCGAAGCAAAAGUGUUAAGUACCCCGCCUGGGGAGUAUGGUCGCAAGGCUG